rnacentral:misc_RNA from 1 species
UUUCCGUAGGUGAACCUGCGGAAGGAUCAUUAUUGUAUAACCGAGGUGCGAGGGCUGUCGCUGACCCGAAAGGUCGUGCACGCCAGAGGACCUAAAACCCUGAAUGUUAGUGUCGUCUGAGUACUAUAUAAUAGUUAAAACUUUCAACAACGGAUCUCUUGGUUCUG